CAGCCGCCGCGGUAAUACGUAGGUGGCAAGCGUUGUCCGGAAUUAUUGGGCGUAAAGGGCUCGCAGGCGGUUUCUUAAGUCUGAUGUGAAAGCCCCCGGCUCAACCGGGGAGGGUCAUUGGAAACUGGGAAACUUGAGUGCAGAAGAGGAGAGUGGAAUUCCACGUGUAGCGGUGGAAUGCGUAGAGAUGUGGAGGAACACCAGUGGCGAAGGCGACUCUCUGGUCUGUAACUGACGCUGAGGAGCGAAAGCGUGGGGAGCGAACAGGAUUAGAUACCCCUGUAGUCCCUGUCUCUUAUAA
rnacentral:rRNA from 1 species